GGCGGUUUCGUCGGGUGUCUACCUCCAGGGGUCGUUCGUGAGCUAGAGAAACCCGGAGUUAGGAAGGAAGGGGCCUGGCCACACCCCUUCCGCUCUCGGCUGUGCGUUGCCCUGGUUCCCAGUGCAUUCUCUGUCGUGAGCCGAGCAAGGAGGUCGGACAGAAACAGGUCGUUUGUGUCUUUCCGCAAGAGCAGCCUGAGCUCUUUGAAGACUCCUUAGUCCGAAGCCUCUGGUGGCCGAUGGUCUGCAUCUUUCCCAUGUGCUCCUGAGGUACAAAAUGGACAUUUCAGCUGCUUUUAAUAGAAACUCACUUUGUCACUCGUAAAACUCAGGAAGCUGUCCCAAAUCCUGGGAGGACAUGAAAAGAGGCUCACUCUGCAGUCGAGUGCAGGUAUGCCUAUGGUAUGCAGGUCCCAAGACUCUCCACUUCUCUCUUAGUUUGAAGUGGGCAUUCUUUUAAGAAGUAGAGGACCCUGUGGUCACUGGCUUCCUUAGUGGUUCAUGUGAUUCACUGUCCACACAGUGAAUCACAGGACAAUCAGAGAGCAGGAAUCUGCAAAGGGGGGAUGUCAUGUGCUGAAUUGUAUCUCCUUAACAUUUAUAGAUUGAAGUGCUAGUCUCCAAUAUCUCAAGAUUUGACAGUAUUUGGAGGUGGGGCUUUUAAAGAGGUGGUUAAGCUAAAAUGAAGCCAUUAGAGUGGUCCUUAAUCCAAUAUGACUGGUCUCCUUAUAAGAAGGAGAAAUGCUAGGGAUGUGGAGGCACAGAGAAAAGCCCAUGUGAAGAGGCAGCAGAAGAGUGGCCAUGUGCAAGCCAAGAAGAGAGGCCUCAGAGGAAGCCCGCCCUGCCAACACUUUGAUCUUGAACUUUCGGCUUCCAGACUGUGAGAAAAUAAGUUUUUUUUGUUUAAGCCACCCAGUCUAUGGUAUUUUGUUAUGACAGUCCUAGCAGAGACUUGAAAGCCUAAAGGCUUAGGGUCCUGGGAAAAUAAAAGUUGAAAUUCAAGUCCUCCAGUUAACUGUUAUUAGGAACAGGAACUGUUUGAAAAUACCUUCUUUAAGUAUAGAAGAGGCCCCUGCUACACUCCCAUACACAUUUUCACUUUUUGUUUAGGAAGCGUAGAGCUUGCUGUUACACUGCCCUAAAAGUUCCUGGGUUGAGCCAGUUGCCAAUAGUAAGUUGGUAAAGAAAAAUAGGGAUGUCUGGCCAAUUAGGCUGGGUCUUUCAGUUGUCAUAUCUUCUACCCCUGCUAAAGGAUUAGUCUUGGGCUUUGUAGAUUCAAAACAAAAUUUAGUUCAGGCCUAAGUAAGUAAUUUACACACUAGUUCUAAGUAAUUAAUUGGAAUUCACUGAUUAACUGUGAGAACUAUAUUUUUUCAGGAAUACUGAACAAUUCAUGGUAGACUAGUCCUAAAAAAUCUUUUCCCAUUAGGAAGAGCUAAGUGAAGACCAAAAAAAAUGUACCUUGGAAAUAUCCUUGUGACCCUUGUCCAACUGAAAAGUCACUUCCUUAGCAAUGCUUCCUCUCACUUUCCUGGGGAGCAUUAGAUUGCCUCUGCUCUGAGAUCCCAAGGAACCUUCUGUCAGAAACCUCAACCCACAGUAUUUUAAUUAGUCGAGUAUAAGCCUGUAUUUCCCAUUAGACUGUGAGCUCCAAGAGGAAAGGGAUUGUGUGUUAUCUAUCAAGUUAUAUUAAUAG